rnacentral:rRNA from 1 species
CAGUAGCCGCGGUAAUACGAAGGGGGCUAGCGUUGUUCGGAUUUACUGGGCGUAAAGCGCACGUAGGCGGAUCGAUCAGUCAGGGGUGAAAUCCCAGAGCUCAACUCUGGAACUGCCUUUGAUACUGUCGAUCUGGAGUAUGGAAGAGGUGAGUGGAAUUCCGAGUGUAGAGGUGAAAUUCGUAUAUAUUCGGAGGAACACCAGUGGCGAAGGCGGCUCACUGGUCCAUUACUGACGCUGAGGUGCGAAAGCGUGGGGAGCAAACAGGAUUAGAUACCCGCGUAGUCCCUGUCUCUUAUAA